AUUGAAUCACCGUUUUCCAUAUGAUCACCAAAGUUAAGCAGCAUUGAGCCUAGUCAAUACCUAAAAGGGUGACUGCUUGGGAAUACUAGGUGCUGUAAG